CCUUUGAAAUUUCAAAUUCCAGUUUGUGGACAAAGUCCUGCCUAUCUGAGAAUAUAGAUCUCCGACCACUGACCAAACUCCAUUCCAAGCAACUCCCUAGCUAUGCUUUCUCCCUAGCUCAGUUUCCUCCAUUUACUCCCUGGAUUUGCUGAGAUGACACCGAAGUGCUUUCACCACCGCAGCUGUGCACGUCAAAAUGGAUUUUUGCAUUUUCUGUCUUAAUCUAACAGCUUCCUUUCCAAGUCAGGGAUGGGGAAGAAGAUUCUGAUCGUCUGUAAUAAACCAGGUUUCUGGCUGUUUGCCUCAGAUCAAGUGGAUCGCCUGAACACCCUUCAGCACCUGAUGGACUCUGAGAGCUAUUCUCAACCAUGGGCUACUCUAUUCCACCUGGAAAGGAUCCCCGCGAUAGGACUGCAUGGACUGAGUGACUCUUUCGCUCAACUCACCCCCUCCUCCAUUGUGGACCUUUCAUUUGCCCAGGUCUGACUGUGACCUCAGAAGAUGGAGAGAGGCACUUUCAGACAUGCCAGUCAUAGUACCCAGAGCACCAACAGCAAGACAGUGUAAAAGGAGCAAAGCACCAGUCUGCACAAGGAGUUCCAGUUGGUGAGCUUAUUUAGAGACCUGAGACCACUUCUGGAUGCCAGCAAAGGAGACUGAAGUCCUCUGCUUGGUCAAAAACAGAUGCUGCUGUUGCAUUGCUAUAUAAGCUUCCCUGUACGACCCUGACCCCAGCUAUGAACUAGUGGAACCAGGACAGAAGAUUUGGGUGUCUCUGUUUACCCCCUGGCUGUGUAGCACAGUGGCUGUCAGGAAGUAUGCCAGAGUGUUACCAGUGUCAACUUCAGUGGCAUUUUUGGUGUGUUCUCAGACACUUGCCCACUAGAGACAGGGCUUGUGUUCCCAACUGAAUCCGUUUCAGUCACAACAGCUUUGACUGGAUGCAAAGAUUGAUACUAGUGAUCCAGACUCUGAACCUCCCAGAUUCCUUAUAACAGAAGGGUAACCAGUGCUUACUGGGUAUGGCUUUCUUCCCUCCCUCUACUGGCUGGACACACUGAGGUUGCAGGAAUCUUCCGUGAUGGUUUCCUGUAGGCUGGAGUUGGGUGGAGACUGGGGACUCAUUGUGCAAAGACUAAGGGAAACGGAACAGGCUCUGUACACUUGGUUCAGGUUCAGCCGAUCACUGGUAGCAAUGUUCGGAGCCCCAGAGGAGAAGAGAAGGUGGCUACCACCAUGUUGACUAGCACUGCUCUGAGCAGGUCAUUUGACACAGGUUCCCCUGUGUAGCUCACACAAUUUAAGUUUAAUUAGUGUCAUCAGUGGUGGGAGACAAGGUUCUUUGAGUAGAUGUGAUAUAUUUUAUUACAUCAACUAAGCCUAUGUCCUUAGUCUAACACAGCUACAACCAACAACCCUAAAUCAGUGGUAGGAAACUUUACAAGAAUGUGUCUAGUUUGCGUGAGGCACUACAGUCUAAGCAUGGGAGCUGGGUAGUCACCAAGAAAGUGGGCUGGUGUCAAGAUGCUGAAAUAUUUCCAAUACAAAUCUCCACCUCC